UACGUAGGGGGCAAGCGUUGUCCGGAAUCAUUGGGCGUAAAGAGCGUGUAGGCGGCCAUGCAGGUCCGUUGUGAAAACUCGAGGCUCAACCUCGAGACGUCGAUGGAAACCGCAUGGCUAGAGUCCGGAAGAGGAGAGUGGAAUUCCUGGUGUAGCGGUGAAAUGCGCAGAUAUCAGGAAGAACACCCGUGGCGAAGGCGGCUCUCUGGGACGGUACUGACGCUGAGACGCGAAAGCGUGGGGAGCAAACAGG
rnacentral:rRNA from 1 species